rnacentral:SRP_RNA from 1 species
GCUGGGUGUGGUGGUGCACACCUGUAAUCCUAGCUACUUGGGAGGCUGAGGCAGGAGACUCGCUUGAACCCGGGAGGCCGAGCUUGCAGUGAGCCAAGAUCGCAACACUGCACUCUAGCCUGGGUGACAGAGCUAGACUGUCUCCA